rnacentral:lncRNA from 1 species
GCCCGGUAUUGGGGUACGCUGGGCCCGGGUAUUGGGGGUACACUGGGCCCGGGUAUUGGGGGGUUCUAGGCCUUGGUAUUGGGGGUACACUGGGCCCGGGUACUGGGGGGUACACUGGGCCCGGGUAUUGGGGGGUUCUAGGCCUUGGUAUUGGGGGUACACUGGGCCCGGGUAUUGGGGGUACACUGGGCCCGGGUAUUGGGGGGUACGCUGGGCCCGGGUAUUGGGGUACGCUGGGCCCGGGUAUUGGGGGGUUCUAGGCCUUGGUAUUGGGGGUACACUGGGCCCGGGUACUGGGGGGUACGCUGGGCCCGGGUAUUGGGGGUACGCUGGGCCCGGGUAUUGGGGGUACGCUGGGCCCGGGUAUUGGGGGUACGCUGGGCCCGCUGGGUAUUAGGUACAAGGCCCGGGUAUUGGGUACAAGGCCCGGGUAUUGGGGGUUCUAGGUCUUUGUAUUAUACACUGGGCCCGGGUACUGGGGUACGCUGGGCCUGGUAUUAGUACGCUGGGCCCGGGUAUUGGGGGUACGCUGGGCCCGGGUAUUAGUAGUACCGCUGGGCCCGGGUAUUGGGGUACGCUGGGCCCGGGUAUUGGGGGUUCUAGGCCUUGGUAUUGGGGUACGCUGGGCCCGGGUAUUGGGGGUACACUGGGCCCGGGUAUUGGGGGUACACUGGGCCCGGGUACUGGGGGGUACGCUGGGCCCGGUUCCUGUGGAGGAGGUGUCCCGGUUCGGCCCGGGUUCGGCUGUGUCCCGGUUCGGUGUCUAUCUGCCGCCCGGUGCUGUCGCUGACGGUCUGUCCCGAAGGCUCCGGCCCCGGUUGCUCCCAGCCCGGCUCAUACUCUGUCUCCCCGCUGGAGAGGCUCUCAGGCCCCGCUGGGCUCCAUACUCCAGUCCGAGGCUGCGGCCGGAUGCGGCUCCCGUGACGUCAGA